CAAUAGCGUAUAUUAAAGUUGUUGCAGUUAAAAAGCUCGUAGUUGGAUUUCUGGUAGGAGUGACCGUGCCAGACUUGAUUGUCUGUGUAUUGUGUUGUCUCCAGCCAUCCUUGUGGAGAACUUUUCUUGCAUUAAUUUGUAGGGAUUGGGACCCGCAUCGUUUACUGUGAAAAAAUUAGAGUGUUUAAAGCAGGCAAUCGCUUGAAUACAUUAGCAUGGAAUAAUAAGAUAGGACUUUGGUACUAUUUUGUUGGUUUGCAUACCAAAUUAAUGAUCAACAGGAACAGUUUGAGGAUAUUCGUAUGAACAUGUCAGAGGUGAAAUUCUUGGAUUUUGAUCAGACGAACUACUGCGAANGNAUUUAUNAAGGAUGUUUNCAUUA
rnacentral:rRNA from 1 species